UACGGGGGGAGCAAGCGUUGUUCGGAUUUACUGGGCGUAAAGGGCUCGUAGGCGGCCAACUAAGUCAGACGUGAAAUCCCUCGGCUUAACCGGGGAACUGCGUCUGAUACUGGAUGGCUAGAGUUUGGGAGAGGGAUGCGGAAUUCCAGGUGUAGCGGUGAAAUGCGUAGAUAUCUGGAGGAACACCGGUGGCGAAGGCGGCAUCCUGGACCGGUAUUGACGCUGAUGCGCGAAAGCCAGGGGAGCAAACGGG
rnacentral:rRNA from 1 species